GCGUGCGGCGGCCUAACCUGCAGUCGAGCGGCAGCACGGGUACUUGUACCUGGUGGCGAGCGGCGGACGGGUGAGUAAUGCCUAGGAAUCUGCCUGGUAGUGGGGGAUAACGCUCGGAAACGGACGCUAAUACCGCAUACGUCCUACGGGAGAAAGCAGGGGACCUUCGGGCCUUGCGCUAUCAGAUGAGCCUAGGUCGGAUUAGCUAGUUGGUGAGGUAAUGGCUCACCAAGGCGACGAUCCGUAACUGGUCUGAGAGGAUGAUCAGUCACACUGAAACUGAGACACGGUCCAGACUCCUACGGGAGGCAGCAGUGGGGAAUAUUGGACAAUGGGCGAAAGCCUGAUCCAGCCAUGCCGCGUGUGUGAAGAAGGUCUUCGGAUUGUAAAGCACUUUAAGUUGGGAGGAAGGGCAGUUACCUAAUACGUAAUUGUUUUGACGUUACCGACAGAAUAAGCACCGGCUAACUCUGUGCCAGCAGCCGCGGUAAUACAGAGGGUGCAAGCGUUAAUCGGAAUUACUGGGCGUAAAAGCGCGCGUAGGUGGUUCGUUAAGUUGGAUGUGAAAUCCCCGGGCUCAACCUGGGAACUGCAUUCAAAACUGUCGAGCUAGAGUAUGGUAGAGGGUGGUGGAAUUUCCUGUGUAGCGGAAAAAUGCCGUAAAAAUA
rnacentral:rRNA from 1 species